rnacentral:rRNA from 1 species
GAUGAACGCUGGCGGCGUGCCUAAUACAUGCAAGUCGAGCGAACAGACGAGGAGCUUGCUCCUCUGACGUUAGCGGCGGACGGGUGAGUAACACGUGGAUAACCUACCUAUAAGACUGGGAUAACUUCGGGAAACCGGAGCUAAUACCGGAUAAUAUAUUGAACCGCAUGGUUCAAUAGUGAAAGACGGUUUUGCUGUCACUUAUAGAUGGAUCCGCGCCGCAUUAGCUAGUUGGUAAGGUAACGGCUUACCAAGGCAACGAUGCGUAGCCGACCUGAGAGGGUGAUCAGCCACAAUGGAACUGAGACACGGUCCAGACUCCUACGGGAGGCAGCAGUAGGGAAUCUUCCGCAAUGGGCGAAAGCCUGACGGAGCAACGCCGCGUGAGUGAUGAAGGUCUUCGGAUCGUAAAACUCUGUUAUUAGGGAAGAACAAAUGUGUAAGUAACUAUGCACGUCUUGACGGUACCUAAUCAGAAAGCCACGGCUAACUACGUG